ACUAUCCAGCAGAUGACGAGAGACAAUAUGGUGCAAUGCCAUGUUGCACCUGUUGCCCGGAUCCCAAUCCAACAAAUGUCCAAAGCAACCCUGCCUGAACGUAUUCUCCAGUGCGUCGCCCCCAAUUUCCCUCAGUCGCUCGGGUACCCGGGACAAAUAACUGGUCUUGUAGUAAGAACUGAUCUGCGUCCCGGGGCGAUUUAUUGUUUUGGGCCUCCGAUAACCGAUC
rnacentral:lncRNA from 1 species